GUGCUCGCUUCAGCAGCACAUAUACUAAAAUUGGAACAAUACAAUUUUAGUAUUGUCAUCCUGCGCAAGGAUGUCACUUAAAGAGAGAAUUGCUGUGUAACUUAUUGUU